rnacentral:rRNA from 1 species
UACGAAGGGGGCUAGCGUUGCUCGGAAUCAUUGGGCGUAAAGGGUGCGUAGGCGGCGUGGUAAGUCGGGUGUGAAAUCUCGGAGCUUAACUCCGAAACUGCAUUCGAUACUGCCGUGCUUGAGGACUGGAGAGGAGACUGGAAUUUACGGUGUAGCGGUGAAAUGCGUAGAUAUCGUAAGGAAGACCAGUGGCGAAGGCGGGUCUCUGGACAGUUCCUGACGCUGAGGCACGAAGGCCAGGGGAGCAAACGGG